GUAACAAAAAUAAAACCCCAUAAUAACACAAAAUCUUAGUAUUUUAAAUUCAACUGCAACCCCUUUAAAUUUGAGAAUAAUCUAUAUCAUUCUUGUUUUUUUCUUUUUCAGUUGUUUCAGACGCACCAACAACAGGUGCAUGUUCACUUACUUGAACUUUAGGAGAAAACACUUCAUCCACAUACUCACUUCCAAAGAUAAUUGUAAUGAUUUUGAUUGGGUGGAUGAAGUGAUUCUUCUUGAAGCUCAAGUAAGUGAACCUGAAGCAACUGGAAAAAAAGAAAAAUGAAUGACAAAAUUAUGCUCAAAUUUGAACGGGUUGCAGUUUAAUUUAAAAUGCUAAGGUUUUGUACCAUUUUGAAUUUUGAUGGGUUUUAUUUUUGCUAAUUUUUGUUGUGUUUAGGUUGUAAGUUGUGAUGAUAGUAAAUUAAAAUAUAUUUUGGGGUUUGAAGUGGUUGUAUGUUGCCUAAAUUUCAGUUUAGUGUUAUUUCAUUCAUGUAACAAUUAUUUUGAUAGGAUUUGAGUAAAAAUGGAGAAUAAUUUGACAAUAAGUGGCAAUUACCAUGCUACAUAAACACAAUUAAUAUAGUCAAUCUUGGAGAUUACACUACGCCAAAAA